UGGGGAAUAUUGGACAAUGGGCGAAAGCCUGAUCCAGCCAUGCCGCGUGUGUGAAGAAGGUCUUCGGAUUGUAAAGCACUUUAAGUUGGGAGGAAGGGCAGUAAGUUAAUACCUUGCUGUUUUGACGUUACCGACAGAAUAAGCACCGGCUAACUCUGUGCCAA
rnacentral:rRNA from 1 species